AGCUGCCUGCCCUGCUGGUGAUUAUAUGAAAGAGUUAUUCCGACUAGCAUGAGUUUAGGGAGCCAGUGUAAGGGCGCUCAGAGAGCAUGCCGCAUGCUGCGGAAGCCCAACGCGUUCUUUUCGGCACCCACCUGUGAAAGCAGGGACUUAACUCUUUUGUGCACACCGCAAGGGCGGGUUUGAU
rnacentral:other from 2 species